UACGGGGGGGGCAAGCGUUGUUCGGAAUUACUGGGCGUAAAGGGCUCGUAGGCGGCCAACUAAGUCAUACGUGAAAUCCCUCGGCUUAACCGGGGAACUGCGUCUGAUACUGGAUGGCUUGAGUUCGGGAGAGGGAUGCGGAAUUCCAGGUGUAGCGGUGAAAUGCGUAGAUAUCUGGAGGAACACCGGUGGCGAAGGCGGCAUCCUGGACCGGAUCUGACGCUGAGGCGCGAAAGCGUGGGGAGCAAACAGG
rnacentral:rRNA from 1 species